AUUGAACGCUGGCGGCAUGCCUUACACAUGCAAGUCGAACGGCAGCACGGGAGCAAUCCUGGUGGCGAGUGGCGAACGGGUGAGUAAUACAUCGGAACGUGCCCAGUAGUGGGGGAUAACCCGGCGAAAGCCGGACUAAUACCGCAUACGACCUACGGGUGAAAGCGGGGGAUCGCAAGACCUCGCGCUAUCGGAGCGGCCGAUGUCAGAUUAGCUAGUUGGUGGGGUAAAGGCCUACCAAGGCGACGAUCUGUAGCUGGUCUGAGAGGACGACCAGCCACACUGGGACUGAGACACGGCCCAGACUCCUACGGGAGGCAGCAGUGGGGAAUUUUGGACAAUGGGCGCAAGCCUGAUCCAGCCAUGCCGCGUGCAGGAAGAAGGCCUUCGGGUUGUAAACCGCUUUUGUCAGGGAAGAAACGCUCCGGGCUAAUACCACGGAGUAAUGACGGUACCUGAAGAAUAAGCACCGGCUAACUACGUG
rnacentral:rRNA from 1 species